AUACAAGUCACUUGGGGAUCUUGUUUAAAUGCAGAUUCUGAUUCAGUACGUCUGGGCUGGGGCCUAAGAUUCUACACUUCUACCAAGCUCCCAAGCGGUGCUGAU
rnacentral:pre_miRNA from 1 species